rnacentral:rRNA from 1 species
UACGGAGGGAGCUAGCGUUGUUCGGAAUUACUGGGCGUAAAGCGCCCGUAGGCGGCUUUGUAAGUUAGAGGUGAAAGCCCGGAGCUCAACUCCGGAAUUGCCUUUAAGACUGCAUCGCUUGAAUCCAGGAGAGGUGAGUGGAAUUCCGAGUGUAGAGGUGAAAUUCGUAGAUAUUCGGAAGAACACCAGUGGCGAAGGCGGCUCACUGGACUGGUAUUGACGCUGAGGUGCGAAAGCGUGGGGAGCAAACAGG